UGUAUGACGUGACGGCAGCCCGAAAAAGCAAGAAAAAAACGUGCGGGAGUUGUUUUUUUUUCCGCGUCUUUUCUCGUGUUCAAUGCUUCGGACCAUUUAACAAGUGAAGAGCACAAUUGAUUUGUAAAUAUUAUGCACGUUAAACCUUGUUUUAUUAUUGAUACCGCC